rnacentral:rRNA from 1 species
AUGAGAAACAGGUGCUGGACUUCUGACCGACUCGCCCGACGUGGACUUCUGCAUCAAGAUACGUGCCCUUUUUGUAAUCAGGAGGAGACUAUCGAGCACAUCCUCCUGGCCUGUGUAUCCGCGAGAACAGUGUGGAGAACACUAUGUUCGGCCUUAGGAAAACCGGAGUGGUCACCCACGACCCAGGACACCCUCCAGGGUUGGUGCGUUGCGAGAACGACAGGCGUGCGCAAGCCAAAGGAGUUGAGGGCUCUCCCCAUGCUCGUGCUUUGGGAGCUUUGGCAGCACAGGAACGUGAUUGUCUUCGACGGUGCUUCGCGUCCUUGGCGGCGGUGGUCAGGCGAGUCGUCGUCGAGGGAAGAGCUUGGCAGCAGGCGAGCCUAUUGA